UAUAUUGUUAAAGUGAAUCUUAAAUAUUGUGUGUUAAACAUAACCUAUAAUUUAUUGCAAAGCAUCUACUGGACCUAGUGCAUUUAGUUGUUAUCUUUAUUACUAGUUAGAUGUCGCUACAUUUAAUUGUUGUAUAAGAAUUGCACUGCCACCUAUUAUGUCAGUUACCAGAACACCCAGACGUAGUAUAUCAGCUGAUCUGUCUCAAGAUAAUUCACAUAUCAAAGUAAACAAAAAUUCUAUUGUAAAUAACUAGACUAACAUGCAAGUCUCAAUAAAAGAUAUUAUUGAGAAAAAAGCAAUUGGCAGGCCAAGAAAAAAUUCUGAUGAUUCUGGCUUACUGGAUAAAAUUAAACAAAUGUUUGAUAGUUAUGUUAUAACAAAUGAUAAAAGUAUGGAUGACAAACUUAAGCCAAUUGAUGAUAACAUAAAAUUAAUUACUGAUGAUAUAAAUGCAAGAAUAAUAAAAUUAAAGUUGCAGUACAAAGCUCUUUUGUCCAAAUUAAUAAUAUAACAGAUGAAAUGGUUGCUUUGAAAGAAACUAGUGUAAUUCAUACAACACAAAUAAAUACAAUUAAUGCUAUUGCUGACGCCAGCUUUGAUCAAAUUAGCAGAAUGAAUAACUAUUUGAAGUUCCAGAAGCAACAGAGCAAAACAUAUCAGACAAAGACAGAAUGAAAAUUGAUGAAGGUAAAAUUGAAAACUUAAUUAAUGUUAUUUAUAAUGACACCACACUACCACUUGGCAAAAUUAAUUUUACACUAUCUCGUAUUCAUCCAUACUCUGUUUCUUUAACUAAACCCAGAAUGCUUAAUGUCAGAUUUUUUAAAUAUAUUAAUCGAGAAUUGUUUGCUCAGAAGUUUGUAACAGCCAAAAAGAAUCAUCAACUACUUUCUUGGAUGAACCAAAUUUUUUUAUCAGACAAUUACACUCGUGCUCAAUUCAACAACGUCAACAACUAAUUCAACAGCAAGCCCAAACAAACUCAAAAGACACCAAAAUAAAAUUUAUUCGAGGCCAGUUCAAGAUUGUUCAAAUGAGAAGAACAUCAACCAAUUACUAUCAACAACAACUCUAACAUCAGACUAGCCAACCUUAUCAGUAACAGCAACAUAUAAUUCAAGUUCAUCAUCAUUAACAUGUAACACAAAUAAUUCACAUUUGUACCUAUAACCAAGUGCAAUCAACAUUGUAAAAAAUAUCAACGAACAAGACAGCUCAAACUUACAAGCAUUAUAUUUGUAUUAUCAAAACGUGAGAAGUAUUAAAAAUAAGGAUAAGGAUUCUAUAAUUCACUUUUAAGUAACUACAAUCUAAUAUUGUUAACCGAGUCGUGGCUUAACCAAGACAUUAUGUCAUCUCACUUUUUUGAUACUAAUACUUUUACAGUUUAUAGAUGCGAUCGUUCAAGUAGCACCAAAUCAAGAGGUGGUGGAGUACUCUGUGAAAUUAAUCAUACUAAAAUAGAUAAAUUUCAUAAAUUAAAACUACCAGAAACCAUAGUAGAUAUGACAGAUAGUGGGUAUUUUCAUUGAACAUCAAGGUGUUAAUUACAGGGUCUAUAUAAUUUAUAUUCCCCCUGACAGAACAAAUAGUGAUGCAAAAUUAUUUGUCAAAUACUUGAAUCAACUUGAAUUGUACCUCUCUAAAAUCAAAGCAACAACUUCGUCUUUGAUAAAUCAUUUACGGAACCGACACAAAGAACAAUAUGGUGAAUUUUCAGUAGAGCAAAUGAAAAGAAAGACACGAGGUCCUCCAGUAAAUAAACGUCGGAUCGGGUUGUCUAUAAAUGAAACCCAAGAAAUUGAUGAAACUCUCACAAGAAUGAUAGCGGUUGAUAUGCUGCCAUAUUCUUUUGUUGAAAACCAGAGUUUCAACAAUUCAUAAAAAAAAUAAUUCCUGAGUAUCAACCACACAGUCGUACAACUGUAUCAAGGUCAUUGAUGCCACAGCUGUACGAACAAUAUAAAACAAAUAUAGCUGAUCAAAUCAGAAAAGAUAUGGAAGAAAAAUUUGCUUGCUUGAAUUAUACGACAGAUGGUUGGACAUCUCGUGCUGGUGAUUCAUAAUUGUCGUUAACAUUGCAUUAUUUAACGAGCAAUUUUGAUCAUGAAAAUUCCACUCUGAAAAUAUGUCACAUUAAAACCAGUCACACUUCUUAUGAACUGGCGAAGUUACUCAAAGAAAUUUCAUCUGAGUGGAUUGGAUCUACAGAAUUGUCGUCUACAUCUUAUUGUGUGUCUGAUAAUGCUCCAAAUAUAACUUCAGCAGUUCGUAGUGCUGGAUGGGAAAGAAUUUAUUGUUUUGCCCACCAGUAGAAGGUGGCUCUUCUGGGCGACUUUGUGGAAUGCAGU